AUGGCCACCUGCCUCUCUGAUCUAGUCAGUGACCAUUCCCUGGACUUUAUUGGAUUACAAGAGACUAUGAAGAAGGAUUUCACCCCUAAAUGCCUUAGAAAAAUCGACCCCUUUGGCCUGUUUCAUUGGGAAUGGAUCCCAUAUAUAGGAAAAUCGGGUGGUAUAUCCUGGGGGGGGCAUUAGAUUGAACACUUGGACCUUAUUUCCUGCUGUAAAGGUAAAUAUAUCUUGCAGUUGAACAUUCAUGAUAAGAACAAGAAGAAAAUCUGGGGUUUGCUGGUGGCCUAUGGCUCAGCACAUGAGGAGUACAAAGAAGAAAUUUUACUGGAGCUGGCUGCUAUGUGUGGCAACAUGAAUAUAUCCUAUAUUGUAGGGGGGGACUUUAAUAUCCUUAGGCAUGAAAAUGAGAAGAAUAAGAAGAUGAGUCAUAGUAGAUCGACAUAUCUUUUUAACUCCAUCAUCAAUGCACUAGCUUUGAGAGAAAUCCACAUUAGCGGGGGAAAAUACACUUGGUCGAAUAAUCAGGCUCACCCAACUUUGGAGAAACUUGACCGUAUCCUAAUGUCUGAGGGCUGGGAAGAACUUUUCCCAUUGGUGUCUGUUAGAAAACUGGUUCGGGAGAUCUCAGACCACAAUCCUCUCCUACUUUCAUCUGGUGAGGAGGGGCGUGGUGAAGGAAAUAUGCCCUAG
rnacentral:rRNA from 1 species